AUAUCCUCACAUUCUAUACAUCGUUCAAAAGCCUGUGACCGAGUGCCCAUAUUGUCCAAAAAGUGCUAUGAUCAGUAAAUCCGCUCCAGAGGGAGGAGCUGGUAAAGUUUUACCAGGUCACGGCUAUUUUCCGAUCCACUUUAGACUUCCAGCCAUUUGGCUGUUUUUCCCGGUCUUACAAAGCAGGGUUCCUGGGACUUCAGGGAGGCCGGUACCCCU